CCCUUAGAUGUUCUGGGCCGCACGCGCGCUACACUGACGAAUGCAACGAGCUUAUAACCUUGGCCGAAAGGUCUGGGUAAUCUCCAAAUUUCGUCGUGAUGGGGAUAGAUUAUUGCAAUUAUUAAUCUUCAACGAGGAAUGCCUAGUAAGCGCAAGUCAUCAGCUUGCGUUGAUUGCGUCCCUGCCCUUUGUACACACCGCCCGUCGCUCCUACCGAUUGAAUGGUCCGGUGAAGCGCUCGGACCGCGGCCUCUUGACGGUUCGCUGUCGAUUGGCUGUGGGAAGUUCGUUAAACCUUAUCAUUUAGAGGAAGGAGAAGUCGUAACA
rnacentral:rRNA from 1 species